UUCAAUUAAAACCUAGCAAGACCUAAUAGAGGGGCUCCUCCUGUAAAAAAAAAAGAGGGCGCAGCUUUCCCCUUCUUGACAGCAAAAGAUCAGAACCCUCCUCAUUCUAGGGCGAAGCGCCGUUUCUGGCUUCAUUUCCUCAUCUCUAGCAAGAGAACGAAAAUCAAUAGCAAAUCUAAUGAAAAUGCAAAGACCAAAACCCAAUUAAAAAGGAACAAAAACGGCGUUUGCUUCUGGGUUCAACAAAAACACCUCCCUUCUUCUUCCUUUUCAUUUUCUCAAAAUCACAGACUAAAAAGGAGAACAAACUCAAAGGCAUCCCUCCCCCAAAAGAUACAGAAAAAAUGGCGGAAACCCAGACCCCUUCCCUCUCGUUCUUUCUCUGAUUUCAUCAACACACACACGCUGAAAUCUUUGGUAACAAGUGGAAAUUACAGAAUCUAGAGCUGAAAUUUGAAGGUGACGAAGCUGAUUUUCAGCCACGAAUUUUACUUUAUUUUCCACAUUUUUCUGGGAAUUUCGGAGCUUAAUGAAGCCGUAAAGAUUGCUUCGAAGCUGAGAGCUGUUGGAAUUGUUUGAUUGUGAGCUCGUUGUUGUUUGUUGGCUGGAGCUUCUUGAGUUUCGCUUCUAGCUGUUUUUGAGCCGUGGAAUUGCCGCUCGUUGUCCGAUGAUUUGUUUUUGUUGUUGCGCUGUUGAAUCUGUUAAUGGCUACCUCUCCACCUUCAUGUGGUGUUCCUAAGUUGUUUUCAUCUCUAACCAGGAUUGUAUAUGAUAAUAAAUCGCGGAAUAUCACACAGUUGGAGACAUUUAAUUUUAUGUGGCCUGGAUCACAAGGAAAGUGCUCAAUAUGUCUCAAAUGAUACUGAAUACUUGAUUUUUUCUUUAACUCUUCUUAAGAAUUUGAACUGUCUGUUUCCAAAAGUGGAUGAUGAAAGUUUCUUUUGUAAUUCUGUCUAUAACAACCUUAGUGUAAAUUCAGAUUGUAUAGCAGUAAAAAAAUAAUAUUGUGUAUUCAACUGAAUUAUAGUUGAAGAAUAGAGAAAUAAAGGGUUCUGUAGUAAAUAUCAUCUUUGGAUCGAGUCGAAUUUUUA